AGCAAACCUCCGAUAAGGAGACUCGCGGCGAUUUGACAUGCCUUUCCGUUGUAGCCGAGGCGGAGUUUAGCCACAACAUUGAGUGGGACGAACACGGGCGAGCUUUUCAUGCAAAGGAAUAUGAGGCGCAAAGCGCUGGGAAUUCAACGCGAAUGCGACGUAUUCUGGACCGUUUUCUGCCAUCGUAUUUAAUGCUGCGUUCCAUCACACCUCGGAACCCGGACCUCGGAAGUCGGGGUGGAACCGGAACGGAGCACAACGCCACGUAGCAAACAUGGCGACUUACACGGAGGUCGGGUCCACCUCAUAGAUCAAACUGCUUAAGUGGCUGAGGAGGCAGAAAAUGGAGAGGACCGAGGUCCCGGUGAAGGCCUUGGCAAAGAAGAAGGAAGAAUUCUCAGGGAAUUGGUCACAUUUUUCUCCUCAAAUCCUUCAAUUAGCAUUUCCCCAUUUGUAUAUAUAUUUUUUGUUCCGGGACCUUGUUGGUGAAAGCUCAACAUGUCUUUGUUCUCAAGAUUUUUGCUUUUCUGUAUUUGAACCUAUUUCCAGGUUUUCCCCAAUUCAUUCUAAAUCCAAAAACUUACUUUAAAUCCCCCUAUUUAACAUUUAUCAAAAUUAACACAAAAUGAAUGGUUUACAGCACACAUAUAAGAGCAAAUGGAGUGUCUCCUAAUGUACAACAUUCGUAAAAAAUAAAG